rnacentral:rRNA from 1 species
CGGACGGGUGAGUAACACGUGGAUAACCUACCUAUAAGACUGGGAUAACUUCGGGAAACCGGAGCUAAUACCGGAUAAUAUAUUGAACCGCAUGGUUCAAUAGUGAAAGACGGUUUUGCUGUCACUUAUAGAUGGAUCCGCGCCGCAUUAGCUAGUUGGUAAGGUAACGGCUUACCAAGGCAACGAUGCGUAGCCGACAUGAGAGGGUGAUCGGCCACACUGGAACUGAGACACGGUCCAG